rnacentral:snRNA from 1 species
AUACUUACCUGGCAGGGGAGACGCCAUGAUCAAGAAGGUGGUAUUCCCAUAGAUGAGACGAUAUAUGCUGACCCUGCAAUUUCCCCAAAUGUGAGAAACUCAACUGCUUAAUUUGUGGUGUGGUGGACUGAGUCCUUU